rnacentral:lncRNA from 1 species
CCUGCACAAGACCCAUGCCCAGAGAGAUGCCAGCAGCCUAGUACCUCAGUGCUCAAGAGAUGCUGAUGCCUAAACCAAGCGGCCCCCGCCUCCUCGCCCUAUCUAGGGUGGGGCGGGGCGGGGCGAGAAUUUAAAAUAGUUUUAAUCCAGAGUUCUAUAUCUGGUGGUGUUAUUUGUCAAAUGUGGUAGAAAAGUGAAGACUUUACAAGAAACAAAUCUUAAAGAAAUUAAUGAUCACUAAAGCAGCACUGCAGAAAAUAAUUCAGAAAAUCCAAGAGAGACAAAGGCGGCUCUACCAGCAUCGCAGUACUGAUUAGCUAAUGGAAGCAGUUUAAUCUUGAUUAUUUCACCUUAUUUUUGCUAAAUUAAGUUCUGUAUUACUCAAGUAUUUUGUCUUGAAAGUUUCCUUUGAAGCUUUGCAUGCUACUUGCCCGAGGCACAUCAUUUGCACUGAUAUGGAACCUUCAGUUUUUCACAGGAAGCAAGAGGACAACUUUAAAUAUUGCCUGCACAUGUGAUCUAUCACCUUCUAAAUCAUAGGAUUUACCACUUUGUUAAAUUCACAUCUCAACACAGAAGAUGCAGUUUCUUUCUAAACGUGUAAUGGUCUUUCCUUCUAAACAAAAAUGCAUGGCAAGGACAGUUCACAAAUAAAGGAAUUAGAAUUUCUCACAUUCUUCCUGCUGGGGUUUUAUGAUUGGCAAUUCCAUCAGAGGGAUUUAUUUUCAAAUUACCCUUUUACAUUCGUGGGAUCUGGGAUUUCUAUAUAUUUCUAUAUAUUAGUAGAUAAACCCAAGUCACAGCAUUACAAGACAUGAAUGCAGGUUCCCAUGGUGCCGGGCAACUGAAAACAGUAAGAACCAACUGCAGCAGGGCACGAGGUGAAGUCCUAGUUGGAAUCAGUCUGUGAAGUGUUUGGCAACGUGAAUACAGCUUUCUUUCACUGUUAUUGCUAUUGUCAUUGAUUUUAUCACCUACACAUAUACCAGGACUCAAUAUAAGAAUAAAAUAAAAAUAUAUUACACAGAAACAAACAACCUGAUGAAUAUAAUGGACGAUUGGUUCUCUCAAAUUUAAUCGAGAGGAAAAAAUGAAUAACUGAAUGCUAUAAUAAUUUUAUUUAUUUU